GACAGAGGUGCCAAGCGUUAGGCGGAAUCACUGGGCUUAAAGCGUGUGUAGGCGGAAUGGUAAGUACCUUGUGAAAUCCCACGGCUCAACCGUGGAACUGCUGGGUAUACUGGUUGUCUUGAGCCAGCUAGGGGCGAGCGGAACAGACGGUGGAGCGGUGAAAUGCGUAGAUAUCGUCUGGAACGCCGAAGGUGAAAACAGCUCGCUGGGGCUGCGCUGACGCUGAGACACGAAAGCCAGGGGAGCGAACGGG
rnacentral:rRNA from 1 species